CAGUCGCCGCGGGAAUACGGAGGGUGCAAGCGUUAAUCGGAAUUACUGGGCGUAAAGCGUGCGUAGGUGGUGGUUUAAGUCCGUUGUGAAAGCCCUGGGCUCAACCUGGGAAUUGCAGUGGAUACUGGGUCACUAUAGUGUGGUAGAGGAUAGUGGAAUUUCCGGUGUAGCAGUGAAAUGCGUAGAGAUCGGAAGGAACAUCUGUGGCGAAGGCGACUAUCUGGGCCAACACUGACACUGAGGCACGAAAGCGUGGGGAGCAAACAGGAUUAGAUACCCUUGUAGUCCCUGUCUCUUAUAC
rnacentral:rRNA from 1 species